GGGCCGCACCUGCAACAUAUGGAGGUUCCCAGGCUAGGGGUCGAAUCGGAGCUGUAGCCCCCAGCCUACGACAGAGCCACAGCAACGCAGGAUCUGAGCCACGUCUGCGACCUACACCACAGCUCGCGGCAACGCCGGAUCGUUAACCCACUGAGCAAGGGCAGGGACCGAACCCGCAACCUCAUGGUUCCUAGUCGGAUUCGUUAACCACUGCACCACGACGGGAACUCCACCAUCCAGCAUUUUUGAACAGAAGGAGUCUCUUAGUGUAAGAACACAGCUCAAAUGGGAUUAAGAUGGCAGAAUAGGACUGGAGCUCAACUUCUCUCCUAAAAGCAACAAAACUCACAACUAAGGGCUGAGUAAUCUUCAACCAAAUGGACUGGAAACCUUAAAAAAAGAUACCCUAACUCCAGAAGACAGGAGGCCACAUCAAGAAGUAGGAGGGGUGAUUAUGCAAUAUAAACAACCCCAUACCUCCCAGGUGGGAAGCCCCCACAUACUGGAAACUAACUGGUUCACAGAGACUCACCUAUAGGAGUGAGAGUUCUGAGCCCCACAUCAAACUCCCACGUGUGGGGAUCUGGCACUGGGAGAAAGAGCCCCUGGAGCAUCUGGCAUUGAAGGCCAGUGGGGCUUGUGCACAGGAGCUCCAUAGGACUCGGGGGAAAUGGAGACCCCAUUCUUAAAAAGCACACACGGACUUUCACGUGCACUGGGUUCCAUGGCAAAGCUAAGUCUCCAUAGGAAUCUGGGUCACACCUGACUGCAGUUCUCGUUUUCCCAAGCGACCUCCUGGGAAAACGGGUGAAUGUGGCUUGUUGUGAGGGAAGGACAUUGGAAGCAGAGCUCUCAGCAAUAUUCAGCAGCUGUGCCUUUCUCUGGAGGUGGCCAUUUUGGGAAAACCUGGUGCCACCCAUCAGUGCUGAGAAGGCCCUGGGCAAACAACAAUCCAGGUGGGAUCACAGCCCUGCCCCUCAGUAAACAGGAUACCUAAAGACCCCUCAGGCACACAGCUGCCUCUAAUCCCAUCCAGAGACUAAGCCUCACCCACCAGAGGGAUUAGAAUCAGCUCCACCCACCAGUGGGCAGGCAUCAGCCCCUCCCAUCAAGAAGCCUACAGCAAGCCCCCCAUACCAACUUCAGCCACAAGGGUGGCAGACACCAGAAGUAAGAGAGGCUGCAACUCUCUUAUCUGUAAAAAGGUCACCACACCAAAAACCUAUAAAAAGACAAGACAGAGAACUAUAACUCAGACAAGGGAGAAAGGAAAAACCCCAGAAAAUCAGCUAAGCCAUGAGGAGAGUCUCAGCCUCCAGGAAAAAGACUUUAGACUGUUGAUGCUGAAGAUGAUGCAAGACAUUGGAAAUAAACUGGAGGCAAAGAUGGAUAACUUACAGGAAACACUGAGCAAAGAGGUACAAGAUAUAAAACUUAAGAGAUGCGAGAUACAAUAACUGAAACAGCAGAAUACAGGAGGCAGAAGAAUGAAUAAGCGAGGUGGAGGACAGAUUUGAAGAAAUUACGAAUGCGGAACAGAAAAGAGAAAAAAGAUUGAAAACAAAUGAAGAGAGUCUCAGAGAACUCUGGGACAACGUUAAAUGCACCAACGUCUGUAUUAUAGGGGUGCCAGAAGGAGAAGAGAAAGAGAAGGGGACAGAAAAAAUAUUCCAAGACAUAACAGCCGAAAACUUCCCUCACUAUGGGAAAGGAACCACUCACUCAAAUCCAGAAAGCACAACAAGUACCAUAUAAGAUAAACCCAAGGAGGAAUACACCGAGAUACAUAUUAAUCAAACUGACCAAAAUUAACAAAGAAAAUCUUGAAAGCAGCUAGGGAAAAGAAACAAAUAACAUACAAGGGAACCCUGAUAAGGUCAUUGGCAGAUUUUUCAGCAGAAACUCGGCAGGCCAGAAGGGAGUGGCAUGAUAUACUUAACAUGAUGAAAGGAAAAAACCUCCAAGCAAGAUGACUCUACCCAGCAAGGCUCUCAUUCAGAUUUGAAGGAGAAAUCAAAACCUUCACAGAUAAGCAAAAGCUGAGAGAAUUCAGCAACACUAAGCCAGCCUUACAACAAAUACUAAAGGAACUUCUCUAGGCAGAAAAGAAAAGACAGCAACAGGAAACAAAAAUUCCACAAAUGACAAGGCUCACCAGUAAAGGUAUAUAUACAGUAAAGAUACAAAAUCAUCCAUGCACAAUUAUGCCACCAAAAUCAGAAAUCAUGAGAAGAGGUGGGUACAAAUGCAGGACACUGGAGGUGAACUUGCAAUUAAGAGAACAGCAACUCAAAACAAUCUCAUAUACAUAGAGACUCAUAUCAAAACUUCAGAAUAACUGCAAACCAAAAAUCUACAAUUGAUGCACAAACAAAAAUCAACUCAAAUAUAACACUAAAGAUAGUCAUCAAACCCAAAAGAGGAGAGAACAAGAGAAGGGAAGAAAAAGAGCAACAUCAAUAUAUCUGCCUACUCUCUGGCCAACACCAUACUGUCUUUAUUACUGUAGCUUCAUGGUAAGUCUUGUCAGGUAGUGUCUGUUCUCCAACUUUGUUCUUCUUCCAUAUUGUGUUGUCUACUCUGGGUCUCUUGCCUUUUUUAUUUAAACUUAAGAAUGUAUCUGUCACAGAGUCCUUGUGCGGCUCAGAGGGUUAAGAAUCUGGCGUUGUUACUGCAGUAGCUCAGGUUGAUGGGUUGUGGUGUGGGUUCAGUGCCUAGCCCAGGAACUUCCACAUGCUGCAGGUGUGGCAAAAAAAAAAACCCCAAUAAACUUUAGACAUAAAACAAAAAACUUUAGACAUUAAACUCUCAUAAUCUGCAAAAUAACUUGCUGGGGUUUUGAUUGGGAUUUCUUUGACUCUCAAAAUCAAGUUGAGAACAACUGACAUAUUGACAGGACAUAGUCCUAGGACUGCAUUUUUCUGGUGACUUUAUUCCCAUAAUGAUUCUGGAAUUAGCAAAUGCUCAUAAUCCCUGAGCAGUUUUAUUUUUAUGUGGAUAAUCAAACUUUAGCCAGAUGGAUGGAUGGACAGAAUAAUGACAACCACCCUUUCAGCCAUUCAAAUGAAAUGAUCUAAAUGUCGGGUUGGUUGGUUUUGUUAACGAGGUCCUGUUUUCAGGCUAAGGAAAGAGCAUUGUUGGCUCAUUAUCAUGCCACACAUUCCAUUUUCCCUCAGUACUUUGUUGGGCAUCAUUGGAAACAAAGUGAGUCAGAUCCUCUUCUGGUCCUGGAAGGGGCCACAAUCUGGGAAGGUAAACCGUGGUGUUGACACCUGCAAGAAAAGUUUUCCUCUAACCUUCAGGCCCUUAGCACUAGCAGCACCACCCCAACCACAGACAUAAUGAAUUGUUUGCCCCCCAAACAAUUAACACUUUAAGAGUACUCGGACUAGCAUUCCAUGGCCACCAACUGAUUUAUUUUGUUUUCAGACACAGCUUACUUUUUAAAAGUCUUUGUCCAGGAGUUCCCGUUGAGGUUCAGCAUUAACAAUCCCAGCUGGUAUCCAUGAAGACGCAGGUUUAUCCCUGGCCUCGCUCGGUAGGUUAAGGAUCCAGCAUUACCAUGAGCUGUGGUGUAGGUCGCAGACCCGGCUCAAGUCCCGUGUUGCUGUGGCCAUGGCACAGGCCAGCAGCUGCAGCUCCAAUUGGACCCCUAGCCUGGGAACUUCCAUGUGCCACAGGUGCAGCUGAAAAAAAAAAUUAAAAAUUAAAAUUAUUGUCCAGCUCAUGGUGAUCACAUCAGUUCACUCCAGGCAUAUUAAAACCUCACUUCCUCUGUCUAUACUCUGUUGUCUAUUAAAGAUGACUUUCCGAGCAUUUGCCAUUUAUACGGUUCAAAUGGCCUUAGGCCUCCUUUCUUGUCAUAUAUUUACAGGCGUGUCUCAGAACUCCUGGAGAGAAGGGGUUAUGACUCAUUUGUUCCAAAAUAGUACUAGUCAUGCCUGCUUCUGCACCUCUCCCUAACAUCCAACCCCAUAACUGUAUUUAUGGAAACAACUGUGAAAAAUCAAAGCUUUGAAGAACCGGACUGUUUUUCUUGUCCUACCCUAAGUGACAGAUGCUCUUCAAAUGCUAAUCUGUAUUACCAAUAAUAAAGGCUCUUAAGGGAAAAUAAACUUGGGAAAUGUUUGGUUGAAAUAAACAUAAAGAAGUUUUCUUAACUUUUCACAGGCUUUCAUGUGCUUUUUCCAAAUUUAUUUAACCAGUUUUCUUCUGAGAUGCCAGAAUUAACAUUCCCUAGCCACUUUCAGAAAUGCAAGUCUAAACCACAGUAGGGAAAUAUCUUUUCCCAAGCUAAGGAAGUUCUUGUUUACAUAUAAUUAUUAUAGUUUUAUAAUAUAGAAUGAUGUCAGCAAAAUGGAGUAGACAGCUCCAAAUAACCAUCCUUUCAAGGAAACAUUAAAAAAAAAAUACCUGAAACUAAGAGAACCAACUGUAUUAAGAAAAUUAAAAACAGAAAGCCUUGUGGCAUUUUUACUUGCCCUUGCCAAACCUCUCUCUCAGCUUGGCAGCAGUCUUGGAGACUUGGUUCCUAGUUCCAGCACAGCAGUGACAAUGCCAGAUCCCUCACCUACUGAGCCACCAGGGAAUUACACAGGUUUGCUUUUUUUCAAUGUGUAAAAAAACUUGGGGCAAAAGAUUAUAGUUGAGACACAGGUUUUUCUCAAAACCUGGGAGGAAAAGCCAGGGAAAUGGUUUCUUGGUGAUGUUAGUGUGUUCAAAAGCAACUGUGUAUACUGGAGAAUUUAGAAAGCCAGGCCAGGAAAUAUGUCAGAAAAGACCUGAGAAGACCCCAAACUUUCAUGACAGGCUGAUAUAUAGGCUUAGUGCAUUUAGCAAGUGAAGGCUGAGGCAGAAUGUAAAUGGUCCAAGUGUUAAAUAAAGAUGUUCCAGCACAGAGCCAAUCCAUAGAAGAUAGGGACAGGUGUUUUUGUUAUUUUCUAAAAAUCCUGGUAUUCAAGGAAAUCUCUGCCAAAACGUUGGCUCAACACAGCUAAGCCUUCAACAAUUCAGAACUGAAAAUUCUGGGGAAGAGGGAAGUUCUGACUUACAGAAUUAUUCUGGAAUGUUCAAAUGUCCAGUUUUCAACAACAACAACAAAAAAUCACAAAGCAUACAAAGAAAAUGGAAAACAUGGGCCACCCAAAAGAAAAAAAAA
rnacentral:lncRNA from 1 species